UACAGAGGUCUCAAGCGUUGUUCGGAUUCAUUGGGCGUAAAGGGUGCGUAGGCGGCCUUCUAAGUCGGACGUGAAAUCCCUCGGCUUAACCGAGGAACUGCGUCCGAUACUGAAAGGCUUGAAUCCGGGAGAGGGAUGUGGAAUUCCAGGUGUAGCGGUGAAAUGCGUAGAUAUCUGGAGGAACACCGGUGGCGAAGGCGGCAUCCUGGACCGGUAUUGACGCUGAGGCGCGAAAAGCUAGGGGAGCAAACGGGG
rnacentral:rRNA from 1 species